rnacentral:rRNA from 1 species
GAUGAACGCUGGCGGCGUGCCUAACACAUGCAAGACGAGCGAGAAGUUUGAAAAAUGAGUUUUCGAACAAGUGAUUCAAACGGAAGGCGGCGGACGGGUGAGUAACGCGUAGGCAACAUGCCUCGUGCAGAGGGACAGCCUCGGGACACCGGGAUUAAGACCUCAUGAUAUCGGGUUAUCACAUGGUAAUCCGGUCAAGGAUUUAUUGGCAUGGGAUGGGUCUGCGGCUGAUUAGCUGGUUGGUGGGGUAACGGCCUACAAAGGCGACGAUCAGUAGCAGAACUGAAAGGUUCAUCUGCGACAUUGGAACUGAGACACGGUCCAAACUCCUACGGGAGGCAGCAGUGAGGAAUAUUGCACAAUGGGCGAAAGCCUGAUGCAGCAACGCCGCGUGAGCGAAGAAGGCCUUUGGGUCGUAAAGCUCUGUCCUUGGGGAAGAAACAAAUGACGGUACCCUUGGAGGAAGCCCCGGCUAACUACGUGCCAGCAGCCGCAGUAA